rnacentral:rRNA from 1 species
UACACUCCUACGGGAGGCAGCAGUGGGGAAUUUUGGACAAUGGGCGAAAGCCUGAUCCAGCAAUGCCGCGUGAGUGAAGAAGGCCUUCGGGUUGUAAAGCUCUUUUGUCAGGGAAGAAACGGUGAAAGCUAAUAUCUUUUGCUAAUGACGGUACCUGAAGAAUAAGCACCGACUAACUACGUGCCAGCAGCCGCGGUAAUACGUAGGGUGCAAGCGUUAAUCGGAAUUACUGGGCGUAAAGCGUGCGCAGGCGGUUUUGUAAGUCUGAUGUGAAAUCCCCGGGCUCAACCUGGGAAUUGCAUUGGAGACUGCAAGGCUAGAAUCUGGCAGAGGGGGGUAGAAUUCCACGUGUAGCAGUGAAAUGCGUAGAUAUGUGGAGGAACACCGAUGGCGAAGGCAGCCCCCUGGGUCAAGAUUGACGCUCAUGCACGAAAGCGUGGGGAGCAAACAGGAUUAGAUACCCCUGUAGUCCCAUGA